rnacentral:rRNA from 1 species
GACGAACGCUGGCGGCGUGCCUAAUACAUGCAAGUUGAGCGCUGAAGGUUGGUGCUUGUACCAACUGGGUGAGCAGCGAACGGGUGAGUAACGCGUGGGUAAUCUGCCUUUGAGCGGGGGACAACAUCUGGAAACGAAUGCUAAUACCGCAUAAAAACUUUAAACACAAGUUUUAAGUUUGAAAGAUGCAAUUGCAUCACCCAAAGAUGAUCCCGCGUUGUAUUAGCUAGUUGGUGAGGUAAAGGCUCACCAAGGCGAUGAUACAUAGCCGACCUGAGAGGGGGAUCGGCCACAUUGGGACUGAGACACGGCCCAAACUUCUACCGGAGGCAGCAGUAGGGAAUCUUCGGCAAUGGACGAAAGUCUGAACGAGCAACGCCGCGUGGGGGAAGAAGGUUUUCGGAUCGUAAAACUCUGUUUGUAGAGAAGAACGUUGGUGGGAGUGGAAAGCUCAUAAAGUGACGGUAACUACCCAGAAAGGGACGGCUAACUACGUG